CUGAAACAGACUCCAAGCCAUGACAUUAAACGUGUUUGUUGUUUAUUUUCCUUUUCUUUCUUCCUUUUCCCCUUAGGGAAUUCCAGGAAUGGCUGGCAGUAUUGGGGCAGUUGGUUACCCUGGCAGGCAGGGCCUAGCUGGACCAGAAGGUAACCCAGGUCCUAAAGGAGUAAGAGGUUUCAUUGGACCUCCAGGUGUGGCAGGACAACCAGGACCUGAAGGAGAAAGGGUAGGUCUAAUGGAACAUUGAUGUUUGUGUGGUAAUGCAAUAUAUGUUAGGAUGGGAGAAAAUGUACAAGGUUUAACCAUUCAUUCAUUUGUUUGG
rnacentral:lncRNA from 1 species